ACAGUGGGGUAACCUGCCUGUAAGACUGGGAUAACUCCGGGAAACCGGAGCUAAUACCGGAUAGUUCCUUGAACCGCAUGGUUCAAGGAUGAAAGACGGUUUCGGCUGUCACUUACAGAUGGACCCGCGGCGCAUUAGCUAGUUGGUGAGGUAACGGCUCACCAAGGCGACGAUGCGUAGCCGACCUGAGAGGGUGAUCGGCCACACUGGGACUGAGACACGGCCCAGACUCCUACGGGAGGCAGCAGUAGGGAAUCUUCCGCAAUGGACGAAAGUCUGACGGAGCAACGCCGCGUGAGUGAUGAAGGUUUUCGGAUCGUAAAGCUCUGUUGUUAGGGAAGAACAAGUGCAAGAGUAACUGCUUGCACCUUGACGGUACCUAACCAGAAAGCCACGGCUAACUACGUGCCAGCAGCCGCGGUAAUACGUAGGUGGCAAGCGUUGUCCGGAAUUAUUGGGCGUAAAGGGCUCGCAGGCGGUUUCUUAAGUCUGAUGUGAAAGCCCCCGGCUCAACCGGGGAGGGUCAUUGGAAACUGGGAAACUUGAGUGCAGAAGAGGAGAGUGGAAUUCCACGUGUAGCGGUGAAAUGCGUAGAGAUGUGGAGGAACACCAGUGGCGAAGGCGACUCUCUGGUCUGUAACUGACGCUGAGGAGCGAAAGCGUGGGGAGCGAACAGGAUUAGAUACCCUGGUAGUCCACGCCGUAAACGAUGAGUGCUAAGUGUUAGGGGGUUUCCGCCCCUUAGUGCUGCAGCUAACGCAUUAAGCACUCCGCCUGGGGAGUACGGUCGCAAGACUGAAACUCAAAGGAAUUGACGGGGGCCCGCACAAGCGGUGGAGCAUGUGGUUUAAUUCGAAGCAACGCGAGAACCUUACCAGGUCUUGACAUCCUCUGACAACCCUAGAGAUAGGGCUUUCCCUUCGGGGACAGAGUGACNGUGGNGCAUGGUUGUCGUCAGCUCGUGUCGUGAGAUGUUGGGUUAAGUCCCGCACGAGC
rnacentral:rRNA from 1 species